rnacentral:rRNA from 1 species
AAUUUUGGGCGUAAGAGCUCGUAGGCGGUUUGUCGCGUCUGCUGUGAAAUCCCGAGGCUCAACUUCGGGUCUGCAGUGGGUACGGGCAGACUAGAGUGCGGUAGGGGAGAUUGGAAUUCCUGGUGUAGCGGUGGAAUGCGCAGAUAUCAGGAGGAACACCGAUGGCGAAGGCAGAUCUCUGGGCCGUAACUGACGCUGAGGAGCGAAAGGGUGGGGAGCAAACAGGCUUAGAUACCCUGGUAGUCCACCCCGUAAACGUUGGGAACUAGUUGUGGGGUCCAUUCCACGGAUUCCGUGACGCAGCUAACGCAUUAAGUUCCCCGCCUGGGGAGUACGGCCGCAAGGCUAAAACUCAAAGGAAUUGACGGGGACCCGCACAAGCGGCGGAGCAUGCGGAUUAAUUCGAUGCAACGCGAAGAACCUUACCAAGGCUUGACAUAUACGAGAACGCUGCAGAAAUGUAGAACUCUUUGGACACUCGUAAACAGGUGGUGCAUGGUUGUCGUCAGCUCGUGUCGUGAGAUGUUGGGUUAAGUCCCGCAACGAGCGCAACCCUCGUUCUAUGUUGCCAGCACGUAAUGGUGGGAACUCAUGGGAUACUGCCGGGGUCAACUCGGAGGAAGGUGGGGAUGACGUCAAAUCAUCAUGCCCCUUAUGUCUUGGGCUUCACGCAUGCUACAAUGGCCGGUACAAAGGGCUGCAAUACCGUGAGGUGGAGCGAAUCCCAAAAAGCCGGUCCCAGUUCGGAUUGAGGUCUGCAACUCGACCUCAUGAAGUCGGAGUCGCUAGUAAUCGCAGAUCAGCAACGCUGCGGUGAAUACGUUCCCGGGUCUUGUACACACCGCCCGUCAAGUCAUGAAAGUCGGUAACACCUGAAGCCGGUGGCCCAACCCUUGUGGAGGGAGCCGUCGAAGGUGGGAUCGGUAAUUAGGACUAAGUCUAA